ensembl:lncRNA
GGCAGAACAGUUGAAACUGGAGCAGCAGCACGGUCAGGUGGACUGGGGACAGCAAGGAGUCAUCAUGUCAUCACUUUAGCCACCGCUAACAAACAAAAAAUCAAUGGGAGUGAUCGGGGCAAUUGUCAACAUUUCAUGGCCAAAUCAACCACAUUUAGUUUGAUGUUACUUAAUGGUGAUUUGGACACUUGUUUUUUAAUUUUUUUAUUGCAUUUUGCAAAUGAUGUGGCACUUCUCUCUGAGAGCCCACGCUAACAAACAAAGGAUAUGGCUGCCAGAAUGAAUCAAAGUGAGGUUGUUUCACCAAAGUGGCUCUGAGAUAUGUGUUACAGUAGGCUACCACCACUGAAGUACUAUAGAUUUAUGUUUUUUUUUUAAAAGGGUCAUUUUUCCAUCCUCUUCUGAGAACCAAAAUAAGAGUCAUAUCAAGAAAUGAACCGAACAAAAAAUGUCAAUCUUUACACCCCUACAACAACAAAAGAUUUUUUAGGGGUGUGAAGCUACGUACGGUAUGAUCUUUGAAUGACUGAAUUAGUAUCAAAUAUCUGCUUUCCAGGAUGUGGCAUGUUCCUGAACUUUGGGAAUGUGAGCACAACUAGUGCAAACCGUGGAGACUGGCUAACCGAGAACGUGAAACUCGAUGCGAAAGGAGGCAGAGAUGAUCGCAACUAUCUAUGGGUGUCGCUGAAAAUGCGGUCUGAAAACCCGUUUCUGUCCCUGGUCCUGCCCAGUAUACUGAUCAUUGUGGCAGAUGUGGUGAGCUUCUCCCUGCCACUGGGAGGGGGCGGCGUAUCUCAUUCAAGGUUACACUGGUUCUCAGCUUCAUCAUGUUCCUCAUCAUCCUCAACGACCUACUGCCUGGAGGAGGCCAGUGCAGCCCCAUCAUCCGAAAGCACUUCUGUUUCUGUUUGGUCAUCCUGGUGUUGAGCACGUUGCAGUCUAUGGUGCUCACACGCCUGGCUAAGUGUGGCACUCUCUGGCCCUGCAGCCUCUCCAAGUCCAAAGACUCACUACUUAAAGACACAGACAAUGAAGAGGAAUCCAAGUCUGAUAUUAAAGCCUCAGCGGAAGAGAAGAAUACAGCCCUCCAGAAGGUGGUGAAGUUUCUCAACAAAAUGGCUGCACAAGACCAGAAAAAUGCUAUACACCAUCGCUUUGCCAACAAAGUGGACUUGAUCUGUUUCUGUAUCUAUCUCACCAUUCUCAUUGUUUAUGCAGUCGUCAUUUUAUAUUUCUCCUUUGGUUCUCAAUGUAAGAUCAACCAAUUAGAUUUCUGGUCAUAAAUUCUUUAU